GAUGAAGAACGCAGCGAAAUGCGAUAGGUAAUGUGAAUUGCAGAUUUCAGUGAAUCAUCGAAUCUUUGAACGCACCUUGCGCCUUGUGGUAUUCCACAAGGCAUGCCCGUUUGAGUAUCAUUAAAUCAUCAACUCUAAAACCUUUGUGGUUUUUUUUAGAGCUUGGUCUUGAGGGUUUUGCAGGCUUUUUUUUUUUUUUUCGAGUUUUCUCCCUUUAAAUGCAUUAGCGAGACUUCCCUAUGCUGAACCGUCUCUUUGACGUGAUAAUUAUCUGCGUCGAAUUUUGGUUCUCGUUGGGCUUGCUUCUAAUCGUCUGUUAAAGACAAAACGGAUUUGGGUGCAUAUAUGCGCCUUUUUCCAAAACCUUUUUUUGAUCUCAAAUCGGGUAGGACUACCCGCUGAACUUAAGCAUAUCAAUAAGCGGAGGA
rnacentral:misc_RNA from 1 species